rnacentral:rRNA from 1 species
CAAUAGCGUAUAUUAACGUUGUUGCAGUUAAAAAGCUCGUAGUUGGAUUUCAGAACUACUGGACCUGCCGCCUACGGUGUGCGGGUUCGAGUUGUUCUUCUUGUUGAUUAAGCUUCCUGCGCCUCACGGCGUGGGUUGUGGAGUCAGCACGUUUACUUUGAAGAAAUUAGAGUGUUCAAAGCAGGCUAUCGCCUUGAAUACAUUAGCAUGGAAUAAUGGAAUAGGACUUCCGUCCUAUUUCGUUGGUUUCCGGGAGGGAAGUAAUGAUCAAUAGGGGUGGUUGGGGGCAUUCGUAUUCAACUGUCAGAGGUGAAAUUCUUGGAUUAGUUGAAGACGAACUACUGCGAAAGCAUUUGCCAAGCACUCGCNCGCUG